UAUUACCGCGGCUGCUGGGGCCGGAUGGGUUGAUCGGCAAGUACCGCAAGGCCCAUUUAUGGAACCUGGAGAAGCUCUGGUUCACCCCUGGCAACCUGGGUUUUCCGGUGUUUGAAACGCCUAUCGGGCGGAUUGGCCUGUUGAUCUGCUGGGACAUCUGGUUCCCGGAAGUACCACGUCUGCUCAGCCAGCAGCCGCGGUAAUA
rnacentral:rRNA from 1 species